AUGGAACCGAGGAGGCUUGGGCGGUUAGUGUUUCUGCUCUGCUGCUGUGCGGCCGUCACAUGCAGUCUGCACGCGGGAGCUCAGGCACAAACCACUCUACGACAACAAUCCGAAGGCUCACCCCACAAUGGAGCAGUGGGUAGGGUAUUGUCGGAGACGGCGAAUCGAUCGCAUAGCGACCUUUCGAGAAGAACGAGAAGAAUCGAUCCUCUUGAUGGCUUGAGGAAGUAUGAGGGAGGGUUCAAUAUCACAAACAAGCAUUACUGGAGUUCGACCGUAUUUACAGGUAGAUCUGGAUACAUCAUUGGUGCAUUAUGGCUUAUUGGUGGUGUCAUUUUUGCCGGCUUCCUUCUUGCCUCAAAGAUUUUCUUCACCAAAAGUAACGAAAGAGAAAGAGACGGUGUCAUCGAUGAUUUUCUUGACAGAUGCCAUCUUGUGUCUGUCAUGCUUAUCAUUCUUCUUGCAGUUUUUGCCAUAGUUGCAUCGGCGAUCGCGCUUCAGGGCGCUGUACUAUUUCAUUCUAGAGCAGAGUCCAUCAAAGAUAUCGUCGGGAGAACAGCGCUUGAAGCGACUGCGACGAUUUAUAACAUUACAGGAGCCAUUGAGAGGAUGCAGAACACGUCGAGGCUAUACAACAUUAGUAGCCAAUCCUUUGAUCAUCUGAACUCCACGGUAAAGGCACUGAACUCUGAAGCCGUGGAAAUUCAGGCGAAGGCCGAAAAGAACAUGCGCUUGGUCAGCAAAGGCAUCAACACAUUAGAACUUGUCAUCAUUUUAACCGUGACGCUGAAUCUUGUCUUGGUCCUUGUCUUGCUAGUGGGAAGACCUCUGAGGCUACAGAAGUUGUACCAUAUGUGCAUAGCCUUGUGCUGGGUACUGACAGUCCUCUUCUGGAUGUACUUCGGGCUGUACUACUUCCUCGACAAGUUCGCCGGCGUCACGUGCGCGGCCCUCGAGGAGUACCAGCUGAACCCCAAGAACAGCACGCUGGGCGCCAUCAUACCCUGCAGCGAGAAGAUGUCCGGCAGCGUCAUCCUGCACGAUGUUGGUGCAGGCAUACACGACAUCAUAGACCAGGUGAAUUCGAACAUUUACACCAUCAAGUCGGAGUACCCCGUGAAGCAGCUGGGCUAUAUCUGCAACCCGUUCGCCGGGCCGCCGGGGUACCGGUACCGGCCGGAGAACUGCGCUUCCGGCGCCGCCACCAUUGGUGACAUCCCUCAGAUCCUGCGGAGGCUGACGUGCUCGGAGUUGAGCGGUGGCGCCAACUGCGCGCCGGCCGACCUCUCGUCGGCGAUCGACUACGACAAGGUGCAGACGUACACGAGCUCCAUCCAGAACGUGCUGGACAUCUUCCCGGGCACGGAGCGGCUGGUGAGCUGCGAGCUGGUGAAGGCCGGCUUCGCGGACAUCGUGGGCAACCAGUGCGCGCCGCUGCGGCGCGGCGCGCGGGCGACGUGGGCCGCGCUCGCCGCCCUGUCGACGGCCAUGGCACUGCUCGUGCUCGCCUCGGCGGCGUGCGGCGGCGUCGGAGGGUCGCGCCACGCCGGCGACGACCGCCACUCGGUGAGGCACCUCACGUCGUCGUCCAACUCGGAGGUAUCGGAGACCGAGUUCACCGAGAUGCACGCCAAGAAAGUGCGAGUUAAGAUCGCCGGGCCGUGA
rnacentral:rRNA from 1 species